rnacentral:tmRNA from 1 species
GGGGGUGUAAUGGCUUCGACAGGCACUUAAAAGCUUUUGCUGCAGUGGUUUGGUAAACCUUAAUACUUUCUAGGCUAUUUAAACGCAAACUUAGAAAACAAAAAACAAAAUGAUUUUUUCAUGGCAAAUGCUAUGAUUAAUCAAGCAAACCCAGUUUACGCUUAAUUUGUAAUUGGUCAAACUCCUUUAAUUGCCCGGUUUAGGAAUGUUUGUUGGAGGGCUUGAUUUAGUAAAUUUUAGUUUAUAGCUAAAUGACACUUUAAACUAAAACUUAUUAUAAUUUUUGUUUAUUUUAAAAUAAUAAGUAAUAUUAAAAAUAAAACUAAACUGUAGAUGCAAAUUCAAGAAAGUGUGUGGACCGGGGUUCGAUUCCCCGCAUCUCCACCA